AUGGUGGCAAUUGCCACGUCAACUGGCGGUGCGUCUGCCGGCCUAUCCAGUUCGGCGGCCUCGGCGUUCACGACCUCGAGCGCACCGGCCUCGCCCUUCGCAUGCGGUGGCAAUGGCUCAGCCGAGUUGACGAUAGCAGGGCCUGGAGCGGCCUUGACUUGCAAUUCGCGCCCGAGGAGCGCGCGCUCUUCUUCGCCUCCACUACCAUGA
rnacentral:rRNA from 1 species